AACGAACGCUGGCGGCAUGCCUAACACAUGCAAGUCGAACGAGACCUUCCGGUCUUUUGGCGCACGUGGGCGGAACGCGGGGGAACCUACCCUUAGGUUCGGAAUACCUCCCCGAAAGGUAUGCUAAGACCGGAUAAUGUCUUCGGACCAAAGAUUUAUCGCCUGUGGAUGGGCCCGCGUUGGAUUAGCUAGUUGGUAGGGUAAAAGCCUACCAAGGCGACGAUCCAUAGCUGGUCUGAGAGGAUGAUCAGCCAGACUGGGACUGAGACCCGGCCCAGACGCCUAGGGGAGGUAGCAGUGGGGAAUAUUGGACAGGGGGCGAAAGCCUGAUCCAGCAAUGCCGCGUGAGUGAUGAAGGCGUUAGGGUUGUAAAGCUCUUUUACCCGGGAUGAUAAUGACAGAACCGGGAGAAUAAGACCGGGCUAACUCCGU
rnacentral:rRNA from 1 species